rnacentral:rRNA from 1 species
AACGAACGCUGGCGGCAUGCCUAACACAUGCAAGUCGAACGAGACCUUCGGGUCUAGUGGCGCACGGGUGCGUAACGCGUGGGAACCUUCCCUUAGGUUCGGAAUAACUCCCCGAAAGGGGUGCUAAUACCGGAUAAUGUCUUCGGACCAAAGAUUUAUCGCCUUUGGAUGUGCCCGCGUUGGAUUAGCUAGUUGGUAGGGUAAAAGCCUACCAAGGCGACGAUCCAUAGCUGGUCUGAGAGGAUGAUCAGCCACACUGGGACUGAGACACGGCCCAGACUCCUACGGGAGGCAGCAGUGGGGAAUAUUGGACAAUGGGCGAAAGCCUGAUCCAGCAAUGCCGCGUGAGUGAUGAAGGCCUUAGGGUUGUAAAGCUCUUUUAACCGGGAUGAUAAUGACAGUACCGGGAGAAUAAGCUCCGGCUAACUCCGUG